UGGGAGGCUGAUACACAAAUUGGGCUGAAAUACUGCUCUGCUUGUCACCAUGCCUCCCUAGAAUGAACUGCCUUUUGAUGACCGGGACGAAUUGAGUGAAAUCGUAACGGACAGAUACGGGGCAGACAGAU
ensembl:scaRNA